GGGUGAUUAGCUCAGCUGGGAGAGCACCUCCCUUACAAGGAGAGGUCGGCGGUUCGAUCCCGUCAUCACCCACCA
rnacentral:tRNA from 1 species